rnacentral:lncRNA from 1 species
CUUUGUUCUGGAUUCCACUGUGAGGUGAUAAUGAGGUGCAGAAAACUAAUUAGAUCAUCAGACAGAGCUGUCUGGUUGCCAUCUGCUGAGGCUGGAGAGGGGAGUCCCUGGCUGAACCCAGACUAGGGACUAAAAAUAGCCACUUCCCUGUUCCUUGUCCCAUUUUUGCCUGGGCUAGUGGCUCUGGUCUCUCAGCUGGAUGGGAGGUCUCAAGAGCUGCUCAUAGCCCCCUGGGUUCUAUCAGUUUUCCCGUGGGGGUCACUCCUACCUCUCAUGGGAGAGCACUCUUAGUGGAUGCAUUUACAGGGAGUAGAGACGGCUGUGGGUCCAGGCAUGUUAUUCAUAUGGGCCGAGUCGUCAUGCCCCAGAGCACGUGUUAGGCAGUGUCUGCUGCUGGGAUGUGUCAUGAGCUCUUGGGCCAGCUUUGCAGGAAGAAACCUUGCUGUCCUAGGUUGUGAACAUGCUAAGACGAACUCACUAUUGUAUACCUCGUCCUCACCAGGAAGGCAAGAAGUUUCCAAAACAGGUCUUUUUCACCCUUUACUUAACAUCAGCCACAAAACCUCUUUGUUGUCAAAAAGUAACAUCUCUAAACUUGUCCGUGAUUGAAAAUAAGUGGAGAAGAAUCUAAACAGCAAUCACCAUGGAAACAGACAAGCACGAAACCAAAGGAAUGAACACAAACCAGCUGUCCAGAAGCAAUAUUAGAGGAGUUUCAGGCAUGGUCCUAAAUCUUUCAGACCUGAAUCCCUGAAUUUCUUCUUCUAUCUCUAUACACAUUUUCCCAGGAUACGUUAAAUGACAGUGUCACAUGACUAUCUAUUCUUUAUGUUUUAAUUUUUGGCUCCAUCCUGAGACACAUUUUUAUUUUUCGUUUUGAGACAGGGUCUUCCUAGGUGCUGUAGUCAGGGUUUUGGCAAGGGAAUACAUUUAAUACAGGACAAAUUAUUUAUAGGAUUAUUGUAUAAUAUUCACCCAAAAAGUCAAAGGUAGAGGAAUGCAAGAGAUUAGCCCCACACUAGGGACCCCGAG